UGUAAAUUCAUUGGUAAUUAGUUGACUUUACGUACUUACGACAACAUAAGUUUCUCCAAUCUCUUGGAGUUGGAACUACAAGUCUACAAAAGCCGUUAUUGACCCUUCGCCAUGUUCAAAGGUUCUUCUCUUUGGAGUAUAUUCAAUUUAGAAAACUGUUUUUUUUUUGGGACAAAAAAAAGUGCGUUGCUUAUGCAAAUGGCUCAGUGGCGAAUUUUCCAAGAAUUUUGACCUAAUUAGAGAAAUUUUAGCUCACAUCAUGUUCCACUCUUUGUCGGAAUUAGUCUCAAACUACUACUUAAAGGUAAACUUAGGUUUAUUCGCUUAUAAAUACAACAUGCAAACGAAUCAUAAUUUAAUGAAACUAGCUAGUCCAAAUACAAAUACAAUUUUGGAAGAAUAAUCGUGAUUUCAUAUAAAGUAGCCAUUGCAUCACUCCAAUUUUCAAAGAAAAUUAUACUUUAUUUUGUAGCUUCUUUUUUUUUCUUCUAAUGGUCAUAAAGAAAAUCUGCCUGCGUAUCUUUUUGCUUUAUGAUUAAUUAGACACUAGGUGGUUGUCCGCGAAUUCGCGGAUAUAAAUAUUGUAUAAAAAUAUACAUUAAGUAUAAAAUUUCGAAAAAUUUCCAUAAAUUUGAUGCAAAAAUAUCUGAUAAAUGUUUAGUAAUAACAAAUGUUUAUGAAAUUAUAUAUGUAAAUAUCAUAUUUACUUCUCCUAUUCUUAUUUUUUAAUACAUAUUAUAAAAUAAAUAAACCAAAAAUCCAUCUUACACUACAAAAAAAGGUAUGUAUUGUAUCACUUAAAUGGAAUCACAUAAAUAAAUGAUGUUAUUUUAAAUCACUUAUUUGUAAAUGAUACACAUAUAUAUAUAAUUUUAAAUCAGUUCUAAUAAUUGAUAGUAUAAUUAACUAAUUCGACAUCAUUUCAAUAAAAUGAUAUAAACUUUAUUAAUUUGUAUCAUUUAAACAAAAAUGAUAUGAUUCUAUACAUUUAUAUCAAUUAAAUCAUUGAUGUAAUUAUUAUUUUUGGUUAGCAUCACUUAUUAAUAUGAUAUAAAAUUCACAUCAAUAAAAAUUGAUGCGAAAAAAAUAUAUAACUGUGUUUUUCUUUAACGUCAAUUAAGUUAAAAUGAUGUUCUUUUAUUUAAAUUUUGCAUCAGUUAAUACCACUACAAAACUUAAAAAAAAAACAAUUUACUUGAACGAUUACAAAAAUAUCUCACACUUCAAAAUCCAAAGAUUACGGAAGUAGUUACUAUUCUUAUAGCUUUAAUUUAAUUGGAGCUUUAAUUUCUUUUAUAACUCUUCACUUCAAAAAUUAAGCAUCUUCGUCUUUUUGUUGUGAAUGCUCAUUCAGGGGUUCUUCUUCCUCUUUUAGUUUCUCAAACUUUCUUGUCUUAUGAGUCAUAAUGAUGGGUAUUGUUCUUAUGCAGGGUUGCUAUUUAGAUUCGGGGAAAAUUUUCUGAAGAAGUAUAUCUUUCUUUUUUUCUUCUUCAUCUUUUUUUUUCAUUUGUUGAAAAAUUAUACUUACAUAUUUUUGGUAGAAUGGUUUUUCUUUGUUAGGAAACAGAACGUCUCAAGACAUAAGAGAGAUGCGUCUACUCAAAAUCUAAAAGUAAGUAAAACUCUAAAGAAAUAGCAGUUGAUGAAGAAUUUUCUGAUGAAUCUCCUCCACUUCACUGCUAAAUCGAUUCAUUUUCACACCAUAAACAGAGACAUUAGAGAUAAAAACAUAGAUACAAGGAAUGAGGAUAAAAAGAAGAAGAAUUUCGAUUGAUGGACGCAUGAAGCUCUUUAUGGUAAAUUUCACCUAACUGUUUUACAAAUAUUUUCUAUGGUUCUUUGAAUUCCUCUUCUUCCAUCUUGUUUAAUGUUUCUCUCUAUAUUUGUUCUUUAGUUUUUUUCUUCUUCGUAAGAUUUAUUGUAUUUCAAUUAAAAAUUAAUGAAUAUUUAAUUUAUUUAUCCACUGAUAUUAUUUAACGUCAAUUAUGUACAAAUAAAAAAAUAAAACGUAAUUAUAAACAAUAAAAUAUUAAAAUAAUUUUGAUGUUUUGAUAUUAAUUUAAUUUCAGUUAUUAAUAAAUAAUUAAAAUCAGUUGUUUCAAUUGAUGUUAAUACUUACAUCAUUCAGAAAAACUGAUUUAAUUUUGGUAUCAUUUUGUAUAAUUGAUGCAUAUUAGUAUCACUUGCAAUUAAUGACAUAAAUAUUAAUUAUUUUUGUAUCAUUUAUCUAUAUAAUGAUGAAAAUCAUUUGAAUCAUCAAUUUCCGAGUCAUUUAUCUAAGCGAUGUAAAAUUCUUUUACAUCAUUUAAAACUAAUGCAAAUAUUUAAAUUAAGUGAUGUUAAAUGACUAUUUUUUUGUAGUGCUAUAAUUCGUUUCAAUCAUAGUAUUACCUUAUUCACUAAAUUAAUUUAUUUAAAUGAAAAAUAUUUUUUAAUCAAAGUUCUCACAUGUUCCGUUCAAUAUAAUUCGGCUAAUCUUCAAAACCUAAUUAUUUAUAAAGCAUAUAUGAACAAUAUAAGAGAUUAAUAAUAAUAAAAUAUAUGAUUAUAUUUUUAUAUGAAUAUGAAAUCAUUAUAUGGAUUUCUAUAAAUUGUGUUCUAUUAAUUCACCGUCCAAACUAAACUAAAAUAAAUAAAAUUAAAAAUUAUCAACCAAGAAAAUUAUAAAAAAUUUCUUAAGACUUCACAAAUGAUCGACUUGUAAGCCAAAGUCACUUAAGUGAUUUUUCGUUUACUAUAUAUGCGUAUUUAUAUUUUUCGUAAAUGUCUUAUAAAUUCUUAUAAACAAUUUAAAAUUAUGAUAAAAUAAUUUUGUAAGCCAUGAUAAAUAAUUUUAUAAUUUUUUUAGUAAAAGUCUUAUAAGACAUAUAUGGACAUUGUAAUACAUUAAUUAAUACUUAUUAUAAUACUAUGCAAAUAUAGUGUUUUAUAUUAAAAAUUAUUAAAUCAUUAUAUUGAUUUCGAUAAAUUGUGUUCUAUUAAUUAUUUUAUGUUGUAUAUAGAUACAAUAGAAAUUAAUCAAACAUUAUUACACUUUCUAUAAUUUAAAAAAUUAGUUACCAUAAAUUAUUAUUUGUAAUAUCAUUUAGAUUAUUUGGUAAGUGACACUAAUUAGUUUUAGACUUACUUUUUAUUUUAAAUCAAAUUAAAAUAAUUGAAAAUCUCUUAACCAAUCAAGUUAUAACAUUUCGAAGGAACCGGACUUUUGACGAACCAGCCCUUUUUUAUCUUGAUCCUUUCUUAAACUCUCUCUAUCAUUGAUAACUAAACAAAAAAUUACUUAAUUGACUUUUCAUUUAAUAUACAGGAGGAUGAUAUUCUUUAAGGCUGUUUUUGUCGCUUCUGUUGUGGCAUACUUAUCCAAAAUACUACUACAGCUUUUAUAGUUCUGUCGUUCGUACAAUUAUCUCUCUGGCGGCUAGACCUAAUCCCUCGACGAGAGUGGACCUACUCUCCUCACAUUCCUGAGUACGGUUUCCGGGUUUGACACACCCAUUGGCACUGCACCAUCAGAAGAACUCAGGAGAAUAUGGAAUGAAAAGAAAAAAACAAUUAGAAGAACGUGAUGGUAAGUCUCUAAUAUUAUGUGAAGCUGUGCAUCGACGAACACUUGCAAACCUACCAACAACUAAUUAAGUGAUGCCUCUAAGGGAAUGUAAGUGAUAGUUAGCCUUGUAUUUGCAGUGGUAUAGUGUUGUACGAUGCUUUCAUUUUUACCAUGUAUGAGGAUUCAGUUGCAAUGCGUUGCGUGAUAGUAUCUAAAUCGUAUCAGACUAAAACUUUGCA